rnacentral:misc_RNA from 1 species
GCGGUUCGAUUUCAAGGAGAUGUUGAAACAGACCUUGGGCUCAUGCUGCGGCUAUGAGCAUAACUCUCACGAGAAUACCUCCCCUUACUUUUCCUUGCUGAAGGGCUUCUUUUCGAUCUCCUAGGCAUGGGGGAAUAACUACGAGAGUAACUCCUCCAACUCCUUGGCUCAGGAGACAGGCUGUGGGAAUAGCUUCUCCUGAGCGG